rnacentral:rRNA from 1 species
UUGAACGCUGGCGGCAUGCCUUACACCUGCAAGUCGAACGGUAACAGGUCUUCGGAUGCUGACGAGUGGCGAACGGGUGAGUAAUACAUCGGAACGUGCCCGAUCGUGGGGGAUAACGAGGCGAAAGCUUUGCUAAUACCGCAUACGAUCUACGGAUGAAAGCGGGGGAUCUUCGGACCUCGCGCGGACGGAGCGGCCGAUGGCAGAUUAGGUAGUUGGUGGGAUAAAAGCUUACCAAGCCGACGAUCUGUAGCUGGUCUGAGAGGAUGAUCAGCCACACUGGGACUGAGACACGGCCCAGACUCCUACGGGAGGCAGCAGUGGGGAAUUUUGGACAAUGGGCGAAAGCCUGAUCCAGCCAUGCCGCGUGCAGGAUGAAGGCCUUCGGGUUGUAAACUGCUUUUGUACGGAACGAAAAGCCUCUUUCUAAUAAAGAGGGGUCAUGACGGUACCGUAAGAAUAAGCACCGGCUAACUACGUG